AUGCACGCUGGCGGCGUGCCUAAUACCUGCAAGUCGAGCGAACGGACGAGAAGCUUGCUUCUCUGAUGUUAGCGGCGGACGGGUGAGUAACACGUGGAUAACCUACCUAUAAGCCUGGGAUAACUUCGGGAAACCGGAGCUAAUACCGGAUAAUAUUUUGAACCGCAUGGUUCAAAAGUGAAAGACGGUCUUGCUGUCACUUAUAGAUGGAUCCGCGCUGCAUUAGCUAGUUGGUAAGGUAACGGCUUACCAAGGCAACGAUGCAUAGCCGACCUGAGAGGGUGAUCGGCCACACUGGAACUGAGACACGGUCCAGACUCCUACGGGAGGCAGCAGUAGGGAAUCUUCCGCAAUGGGCGAAAGCCUGACGGAGCAACGCCGCGUGAGUGAUGAAGGUCUUCGGAUCGUAAAACUCUGUUAUUAGGGAAGAACAUAUGUGUAAGUAACUGUGCACAUCUUGACGGUACCUAAUCAGAAAGCCACGGCUAACUACGUG
rnacentral:rRNA from 1 species